AGUCGAGAGAAGAGUUUGAUCAUGGCUCAGAUUGAACGCUGGCGGCAUGCCUUACACAUGCAAGUCGAACGGUAACAGGUUAAGCUGACGAGUGGCGAACGGGUGAGUAAUAUAUCGGAACGUGCCCAGUAGUGGGGGAUAGCCCGGCGAAAGCCGGAUUAAUACCGCAUACGACCUACGGGUGAGAGGGGGNGGUCGCAAGACCUCUCGCUAUUGGAGCGGCCGAUAUCAGAUUAGCUAGUUGGUGGGGUAAAAGCUCACCAAGGCGACGAUCUGUAGCUGGUCUGAGAGGACGACCAGCCACACUGGGACUGAGACACGGCCCAGACUCCUACGGGAGGCAGCAGUGGGGAAUUUUGGACAAUGGACGAAAGUCUGAUCCAGCCAUGCCGCGUGCGGGAAGAAGGCCUUCGGGUUGUAAACCGCUUUUGUCAGGGAAGAAAUCCUUUGAAAUAAUACUUCGGAGGGAUGA
rnacentral:rRNA from 1 species